rnacentral:lncRNA from 1 species
GAUUCUUUGAGUGGUCCUGUAUAUGUGUCCACACCGGUGGGUGAUUUUAUUAUGGUAGAUCAUGUCUAUCAUUCAUGUGUAGUUGUUAUUGGGGGUCUUGAGACUAGUGUAGAUCUCCUACUUCUCGAUAUGGUAGACUUCGAUGCCAUUUUGGGAUGGAUUGGUUGUCAACUUAUCAUACUAUAUUGGACUAUCAUGCUAAGAUUGUGACCUUAGCAUUGUCGGGGUUGCCUCGUUUGGAGUGGAGAGGGACUCCUGGUCAUUCUACCAGCAGGGUUAUCUCUUAUAUGAAGGCUUGGCUUAUGGUUGAUAAGGGGUGUUUGGCUUAUUUGGCUUAUGUUCGCGAUUCUAGUGCUGAGGUUCCUUCGAUGGAUUCUGUACCAGUUGUUCGGGAGUUUCCAGAGNNNNNNNNNNNNNNNNNNNNNNNNNNNNNNNNNNNNNNNNNNNNNNNNNNNNNNNNNNNNNNNNNNNNNNNNNNNNNNNNNNNNNNNNNNNNNNNNNNNNNNNNNNNNNNNNNNNNNNNNNNNNNNNNNNNNNNNNNNNNNNNNNNNNNNNNNNNNNNNNNNNNNNNNNNNNNNNNNNNNNNNNNNNNNNNNNNNNNNNNNNNNNNNNNNNNNNNNNNNNNNNNNNNNNNNNNNNNNNNNNNNNNNNNNNNNNNNNNNNNNNNNNNNNNNNNNNNNNNNNNNNNNNNNNNNNNNNNNNNNNNNNNNNNNNNNNNNNNNNNNNNNNNNNNNNNNNNUUGCAAGACUUGCUUAAUAAGGGCUUUAUUAGACCUAUUGUCUCGCCUUGGGGUGUGCCAGUGUUGUUUGUUAAGAAGAAGGAUGGGUCGAUAAGGAUAUGCAUAGAUUAUCGGCAGUUGAACAAAGCCACCAUCAAGAACAAAUAUCCAUUGCCGAGGAUUAAUGAUUUAUUUGAUCAGCUUCAGGGUGCCAGGGUGCUUUCGAAGAUUGAUUUGAGAUCUGGCUACCGUCAGUUGAGGAUUAGGACAUCCGAUGUCCCUAAGACAACUUUUCGCACUCGGUAUAGGCAUUAUGAGUUUCUAGUGAUGUUAUUUGGGGUGACAAAUGCCCCGACAACUUUUAUAAAUUUGAUGAACCGGUGUUCAAGCCUUAUCUGGAUUCCUUUAUGAUUGUUUUCAUUAAUGAUAUCUUGAUCUACUCCCGCAGUUAGGAGGAGCAUGAGCAGCACCUUCGAGUCAUUCUUCAGACUCUUAGAGAUAGUCAGUUGUAUGCUAAGUUUUCGAAAUGUGAGUUUUGGUUGAGUUCAGUAGCAUUCCUGGGUCAUGUCGUAGUAGCAAAGGGUAUUCAGGUGGAUCCUAAGAAGAUUGAGGCAGUCAAGGACUGGCCUAGACACACAUCAGCUAUAGAGAUCUGGAGAUUCUUGGGUUUGGCGGGUUAUUACCGUCGAUUUGUGGAGGGGUUUUCAUCUAUAGCAGCCCCGAUGACCAGGUUGACCUAGAAGGGUGCCCAGUUCAGGUGGUCGGAUGAGUGUGAGGCAAGAUUUUAGAAGCUCAAGAUAACUUUGACUACGGCGCCGGUGUUGGUAUUGCCUACAAGUUCAGGGCCAUAUACAGUAUAUUGUGAUGUAUCUCAUAUUGGACUUGGUGCGGUCUUGAUGCAAAAUGGAAAGAUUAUUGCAUAUGUUUCGCGACAGUUGAAGAUUCAAGAGAAGAAUUAUCCAGUUCAUGACUUGGAGCUAGCAUCCAUUGUUCACGCGCUAAAGAUUUGGAGGCACUAUUUAUAUGGCAUGUCAUGUGAGGCGUUCACGGAUCACAUGAGUUUGCAAUACUUGUUCAAGCAGAAGGAGCUAAAUUUGAGGCAGAGGAGGUGGUUGGAGCUAUUGAAAGACUAUGAUAAUACCAUCUUGUAUCAUCUUGGGAAGGCCAAUAUGGUGGAUGAUGCUUUGAGCAGGAAGUCAGCCAGUAUGGGCAGCCUUGUAUAUAUUUCAGUCGGUGAGAGACCGCUUGCUUUGGAUGUUCAGGCAUUGGCCAAUCAGUUCGUGAGGUUGGAUAUUUUUGAUCCCAGCCGUGUUCUAGCUUGCACAGUCGAUCGUUCUUCAUUAUUUGAGCGUAUCAGAGAUCGGCAGUAUGAUGAUCCUCAUUUGCUUGUCCUUAGAGACAUAGUGCGGCACGGAGGUGCCAAGCAAGUUACGGUUGGGGAUGACAGAGUUUUGAGGAUGCAGGUUCGAGUUUGUGUGCCUAAUAUGGAUGGACUCCGUGAGUUGAUUCUAGAGGAGGCCCAUAGUUCCCGAUAUUCUAUUCACCCGGGCGCCGCUAAAAUGUAUCAGGACUUGUGGCAGUAUUAUUAGUGGAGGAGAAUAAAGAAGGAUAUUGUUACGUAUAUAGCUCGAUGUUUGAAUUAUCAGUAGGUAAAGUACGAGCAUCAGAGACCUGGUGGUUUGCUUUAGAAGAUUGAGAUUCCUGCAUGGAAGUGGGAGCGUAUCACUAUGGACUUCGUUGUUGGACUCUCACAGACUCAGAGGAAAUUCGAUGCAGUGUGGGUUAUUGUGGAUAGAUUGACUAAGUCAGUGUAUUUCAUUCCUGUGACAGUUUUCUACUCUUAUGAGCGAUUGGCAGAGAUUUAUAUCCGUGAGAUAGUUCGUCUUCAUGGUGUGCCCGUGACUAUCAUUUCUGAUCGAGGUACGCAGUUUACCUUACAUUUCUGGAGGGCAGUACAACACGAGUUGGGUACGCGGGUUGAGUUGAGCACAACAUUUCAUCCUCAAAUGGACGGACAGUCCGAGCAUACUAUUCAGAUUUUGGAGGAUAUGCUCCUAGCAUGUGUUAUUGACUUUGGAGGUUCUUAGUAUCAGUUCUUGCCAUUAGUAGAAUUUGCCUACAACAACAGUUAUCAGUCGAGCAUCCGGAUGGCUCCCUUUGAGGCAUUAUAUGGUAGGCGGUGUCGGUCGCCGGUUGGGUGGUUUGAGGCGGGAGAGGCUCGAUUGUUGGGUACAGAUUUAGUUCAGGAUCUCUUGGAAAAGAUUAAGAUCAUUCCUAAUAUGCUUCCUACAGCUCAGUCUAGGUAGAAGAGUUAUGCCGACCAUAAGGUUAGUGAUGUGGCAUUCAAGGUCGGAGAGCGAGUGUUGCUUCGGGUGUCGCCCAUGAAGGGCGUGAUGAGAUUUGGGAAGAAGGGCAAGCUAAGACCUAGAUUCAUCGGACCUUUUGAGAUCCUUGAUCGAAUGGGAGAGGUGGCUUACAGACUUGCGCUGCCGCCAGGUUUAUCAGCUGUGCAUCCAGUGUUUCAUGUGUCCAUGCUUUAGAAGUAUCACGGUGAUCCAUCCCACGUGUUAAACUUCAGCACUGUCCAGUUGGACAAGGACUUGACCUAUGAGGAGAAGCCGGUAGCUAUGCUAGACUGGCAGGUUCGUUAGUUGAGAUCGAAGAGUUAACCUUCGGUUCGUGUUCAGUGGAGAGGUCAGCCUGUCGAAGAAGCUACCUAGGAGUCUGAGUCCGAUAUGUGGAGUCGAUAUCCCCACCUUUUUACCAACUCAGGUACUUUUCUAUGUCCGUUCGAUGACGAACGAUUGUUUUAGAGGUGGAGAAUGUGAUGACCCAAAAGGCCAUCUCUUAUUUUAGAAGUCAAAUCUAUGUUCCGAGGCCUUAAAAAAACCUCCUUUUAUCUCACCUCAAUUUGUGUGCGCAAUCCGGGCGUAUAUCCGGAAAGCAUUUAUGUGAAAAUUUGAGAAAAAUGCUAAAUUUUGCCUUUAAAAUUGAAUUAAAUUGACUUCAGUCAACGUUUUGGGUAAACAGACUCGGACCCGUGAUUUGACGGUCCCGGAGGUGUAGAUAUGUGAUUUUUGACCCUCCCCAAGAUUUCAUCCAUUUUAGCAUGUAAAUAUUUAAUUUAGGCCUAAUAUCGCUAUUUCAAUUAAUUGUGACAUACUUGAUUUUAUUACAAGAAAAUGAAAAUUACCAAAAAAAUAGUUUCUUUAAUAUUUUGUAGUCAUUUUUAAUCUUGAAAAAUAACAAAAAUAGUUAUUUUUAACAGUCAGUCUUAUUUUAAUAGUUAUUUUACUUAAGUAAGAUUAAUUGGUAAAUAAGGUCGUAUUUUUAGUCUCGUUCGCGGACAAAGAAUAAAAUUUGGGUUCAAACAACUCAUUUUAAGCCUAGUUUUCGGACCUAGCCCAUAAUCCCCAAGCCCAUAAUUCCUAGGCCCAUACUCCCUAACCUAAAUGUAACCCUAAACCUAUAAAAAACCUAGGCUAACGCCUCAGAUAUUAAGAUAGCUAACCUAGAGAGCAACCAAAGAAUCAGCACCGCAAUAAGACCCCCUCCACAAUUUGAUCAUCUUCUAAAAAGACCUAAGACAAAAGCAGCGGCUGAGAAUGAAAAUGCAACCUCGAUGAGCUUCUUCUUCAUGAAGCUCUAAGAGCUAACGCCUAGAGAGCAAAGGAGAUCUGCUGUUGUUGAUGAUACAUGGACCCUUCCCCUGUCCUUCAUCUUCAUUAGCAGCUGGAGGACUUAACAAAAAAAACCUAGGAGAAGCCAUCGACAGACCUAAGCAGCGAAAUCACAGUUGCAGCUGCUGACCCCUCCACCACUCUCACUCCGUGAACAAAACACAACAUACAAGCGACCACCCCAAAUCUUUUGCCACCAUUACAGCGGAAACAGUGACAAGCUCGCCGGAAAACGAGUUGAAAAGACAACCAGCGGCUACUUAUCCACCUCGUCGACCAACAACCUUUCAGCCUUUCCUUCUUCUUUGAACCUAGAAAUACACAGCCAUCUUCAUCUUUUUCUACACACCAAACUCAGCAGAAAAUUUGAGUAGAAACUGAUAUGGGUGUGAUCUAAAUGAUAGUUCGAGGUUCUAUCGCGUUCGUGUCCCUGUUGGCAUCUUUGUUCGCUGCUUAAUUCUUUUGUCAGAUUCUCGUUUGCUUCUCGAUUGAAUAGAAAUGUAAAUUCGGAACUCCAUUAAUCGGAAAGUUAUCUUUCUUUGAGGUCCAUGCUUUCUUAUCUUUUGUUUCAGUUUCACAGCAAAAAUGUCUAUGCCUGCUUUCAUGUUUUUUUAUUUUUAAUUGAUGAAUAUGCUUGGUUUCCUUUAUUAGCUUAAUGCACUUAAAUGAUAGAAUUGGAAUAUUGGAUCAUCUGUUUGUUUGAAUUAUUUUUAAAGACUUUUUUUAAUUAAUAUCCUUAGGUUAACAUUGAUAUGGUGCUAGGUUCAUUGAUAUACGGAAUAGGUGUGGACUUUGGAUUGAUUUAAGUAAUUAAGAGAUUAAUAGAAAUCAGUUAAAGUUUACAUUCUUCUGUUGUUGGAGUGUUGGGACAUGAGAAUUGAUUUAAAAAGUAGAUUUGGAAUUUUUGACGGAACUUUGCUGUAUUAAUCUUAGAAAAACUUUUCGUGCUCGCAUUCUUGUUUGUUUAACUGUCCUUGUUGCAUGCUUUAGGAUUGAUUAACAAUAAAUAAAUCGUGACUAUGGGUACGAUUCCCGUAGCGUAGUUGUGAUACCUAAUUAGUUUUAAAUAUAAAUAUUCGUAGUUCUUUUAAUUGAAUGCAUUUCCUUUGAAAGAAAUUGAGGCACACCAUUCACACAAUUAAAUCAUUUAACCCAUGGCCCUCGUGUUAAUUUCAUAGCCUAGAUAUAAAAAUGACAAAUGUUCGUAGUUUGCUUUAGGCACGUUAACAUACUAUCAUGGUUGUGGACACGUUCGCGUGACAUGAUUACGGUUUCUAAAAAGAAAAUCGGAGUAUACGUUCGCGCAACUUCGGCCGAACUUUCUUAAUAAUAAUAAUAAAAUGUUACUAAUUAUGGGCACGUUCGUGUGACAUGAUUUUUGACGCGCCAUUUAAAUGAGUACACGCGCGUGACUCGUUUCAAGAUAAUUUCUCAACUAAAAAAGGCAAAUGCACAUAGGUUCUAAAGUAAGUAAUUAGACAAUUUAAUAAGCCAAGUAUGAUCAAAGCGACCGUGCUAGAACUACGGAACUCGGGAAUGCCUAACACCUUCUCCCGGGUUAACAUAAUCCCUUACUCGGAUUUCUGUGUUCACAGACUGUAAAUAAGAGUCAACUUCCUCGAUUCAGGAUUUUAAAUUGGUGACUUGGGACACCAUAAAUUAUCUCAAGUGGCGAAUCUAAUUUUAAUAAAAUAAUCCCAUUUCGAUUGUCACUUAAAUUGGAAAAAACUCCCUUAUACUCCUUUCGGGGGUAGAAAAAGGAGGUGUGACAGCUCUGGCGACUCUGCUGGGGACCGAACCCAGAAUCUUUGGUUCAGGGUCCAAGAAUUCAAGCUUGUUACUAUGAUUUUUAUUUGGCUUCAUUUAUUGUUAAUAUUACUGUAUUCUGUGAAUCUUUUGUGCUAAAUGCUAUCUGUUUACCGCUUUAAUAGUGUUUGAAUUGCAUAUAACUGUCUUUUUACGCCACUCCUCUGAGUCUUCUAAAAAUGGUGCAUACGUUCGCGUGGCCCGAUUUUUCUGUAGAAAUUAUACCAAAUUGAACGAGGCUGGCUAGCAACAAGGCCAGGUAGACUUUAGUGCUCCCGGUACGUUGCCCCCUCUUUGGCCCCAGUUGUCUGCUCGGGUAACCCAAGCCUAGAACACAACCCCAGGAUUUAAACCUAGAAAAACACAUCCUCAUGCUGGAUCCCUAGUAGGAACGUUUGUUUGCAACACAGAGGUUGGGUCCGUCUAGGACAGGUGUACCCAAAAAUAAAAGACCAUCUUGAUGCAUCCUAUAUGCUACAUGUUGCAUUUCGUCAAGGGUAAAGGGGUCAUUGGCGGACCAAUGAUAAUUGAGGGAGAAUGAAAAAAAAAAGAGAAAAAGAGAGUGUGAAAUGUGAGGAUAAAGCGAGUAGGGCCCAAUUAUCACAUUUUUGUUAAGAAAAAAGAGCAUGAAAAAUUCAAAAAAAGAUUUUGCAUUUUUCAUCAUUUUCCGAAAAUCAAAAAGGGGAAAAGAAAAUCCAAAAAGAGUUUAUAUGUUUCAUCAUUUUUCAAAAAAAAAAAAGACAAAAAAUAUAUUUUUCUCUAAAUUAGUUUUUUUUAAUUCUCGCCCGUAUUCAAUCUGCCCGAACUACGCGAACCUGAUUCUUGUCUUUCGGGGCGUGAUAUGUAGGCAACCCACAUAGGAUCCGGUCUUCCUUGUAAAUCUUAGGUUCUUGGCUUUGCGGGGUCUUAGCUAAAUUUUGCGCUUCUAGCCAACUUUUGGCCACAUAAGUCAUUUUGCAAAAAUAGUCUCAAUCAUGUAUUGCAUGUGUCUAAUAAGGAGUGUUAUUAUCUCACAUAGUGUUGGUUAAAGUUUUCUCAUACAGGUGUGAGUCUAUUUACCGAGUUUGAGCAUGACAGAUACCCCGGGACUAUCCAGUCAGGAUCGCUCAUUCAGAAGUGGAUUAAAAGGAG